CAUUGGCCUUGAUCAGAGAACUUUGUCUUGGCUCCUUAUUUCUCUCGAAGCCUUUCCCAUCCAAACCCCCAUCUUUGCUUUCAGGAACUCAGUACCCCGUGGUCGCUGGCAGCUACACGAGUGCACUGCGAAUCCCACAAAUCUCUUGAAACCUCAAAGAUCAACCCCUGAGACACAGCUCCUCCAACAGCAGCGCUACAGCCUCCAAUCCCUCCCAAAUAGUUCCACCAACUGGUAGGUAUCAUAGUGUUGAAUUCUGUGUAUGGCACAGACAUGAGUGUUUGGAUGGCUUCAGCCAGGAGAGGAGACACCAGACAGUACAACCCAAGAAGAAAUCCUAAGACGCUGCAAAUUAGGAAAUGCAACGGAGCACUCAAUAUGGUUGAUGGGCAUUUAAUCUCGGAAAGAGGUAAAGUCAGAGAACUCUGCAAGUAAUGUUCCAGCACUGAGUGACCAUAAGGGAAGAAGCUGGCACAGAGGAAAGGAAAGCAUUCUCCUGGACAUCAGACCAGUAUAGACUGCAGAAUAAGGCAACAGAGGAGAAGAAAACUAAACGCGCUCUGCCUGGUGAGAGGCUUGCUAUGCCAAGACUUACCCGCUCCACCUUGUCCUUCGUCGUCCAGGGCUCAAAUGGACUCAGCCCAAAGAGUUUGCCAAUCCAGCUGCAAUGGAAGUACAUACGGCGUGUGUGAGAGGCGUCUGGGCUGGGUUUCAGCCUACUGGACCCCCAGGAAAAGAGGGGCUGCUGUAAGCGAGAACUUGCUAAGUUUGUCAUUGUUUUCUGAGAAAAUAACAACUUCCUGGCUCUACUACCUGUUGUGGAGACAGAUCUAACUCA